UGGGGAAUAUUGGACAAUGGGGGCAACCCUGAUCCAGCAAUACCGCGUGUGUGAAGAAGGCCUUAGGGUUGUAAAGCACUUUAGGCGGGGAAGAAGGUUGGUAGUUUAAGAGAUGACUAACUUGACGGUACCCGCAGAAUAAGCACCGGCUAACUCUGUGCCAGCAGCCGCGGUAAUACAGAGGGUGCAAGCGUUAAUCGGAAUUACUGGGCGUAAAGGGCGCGUAGGUGGUUAUUUAAGUGAGAUGUGAAAUCCCCGGGCUUAACCUGGGACGUGCAUCUUAAACUGGGUAACUGGAGUGCAGUAGAGGGUAGUGGAAUUUCCGGUGUAGCGGUGAAAUGCGUAGAUAUCGGAAGGAACACCAGUGGCGAAGGCGGCUACCUGGACUGAGACUGACACUGAGGCGCGAGAGCGUGGGGAGCAAACAGGAUUAGAUACCCCCGUAGUCC
rnacentral:rRNA from 1 species